AUAAAAAAAUAUAUAUAUAUAAAUAAAUAUAAAUGGAUAUAUCCAUUUCGAUUUGGUGUUUUAUAUAUAUAUAUAUGCACUAUUAAUUUUAAGCACAUGGUACCUUUAAAACCAAAUUUUAAUUACAUGUAUAAAAUAUAUUAUGUCUAAUAAAUAAAAUAUACAUGUUCAGACGAUUUGGGAAAAUAAUAUGAAAAUAUAAUUAAUUUAUAAAAUUAUUUCAAAUGUUAUAUUUGUUAUAAUUAGUUCAUUAUAUAAAUUAAUAUAAUUUUCGUCGCUUAUCACCUUAGCAUGCAUUUAUUGUUUGUUCCUUUAUUAAUAUAUAAUAAAUAUAUAUACAAUUGGAGUGUUUUUCUGCAUUUCUUGUAUAUCUCUUUAUUAUUAUUUAUGAAUGAAUAAAUAAGACGGCAAUAUUUAUGACCAUGAUCAUUAAAUGCAUUGAGUCAUAAAAGCGGGAUAAUA